rnacentral:lncRNA from 11 species
AGAGGUGCUCCAGAAUGCAGUUAUAGCUUUUUUUAUGCUGAAAAGGAUUAACGCUGCUUUAAAUAGUACCUCAGAUCAAUUAGUCAGCCUUAUAUUAUAUGUCAGGAAUCAUAUUCUUAACCCUGGUACCAAGCAAGAUUUAUUUAUACUUACAGCUCACAUUAACUAAACAAGAGUACUUCAAUGGGUGGCCAAAGCCUGAUUCAUACCUGGAGGCAAGAUAAUACUUGGGAUCCUUCCUCAAGAAAAAGGACUGAUUUUCACAAGGCAUCAUAG